rnacentral:rRNA from 1 species
ACGAAGGGGGCUAGCGUUGCUCGGAAUCACUGGGCGUAAAGCGCACGUAGGCGGACUCUUAAGUCGGGGGUGAAAUCCUGGAGCUCAACUCCAGAACUGCCUUCGAUACUGGGGAUCUUGAGUUCGGGAGAGGUGAGUGGAACUGCGAGUGUAGAGGUGAAAUUCGUAGAUAUUCGCAAGAACACCAGUGGCGAAGGCGGCUCACUGGCCCGGUACUGACGCUGAGGUGCGAAAGCGUGGGGAGCAAACAGG